rnacentral:rRNA from 1 species
GACGAACGCUGGCGGCGUGCCUAAUACAUGCAAGUCGAACGAGAGCGACCGGUGCUUGCACUGGUCAAUCUAGUGGCGAACGGGUGAGUAACACGUGGGUAACCUGCCCAUCAGAGGGGGAUAACAUCCGGAAACGGAUGCUAAAACCGCAUAGGUCUUCGAGCCGCAUGGCUUGAAGAGGAAAAGAGGCGCAAGCUUCUGCUGAUGGAUGGACCCGCGGUGCAUUAGCUAGUUGGUGAGGUAACGGCUCACCAAGGCCGUGAUGCAUAGCCGACCUGAGAGGGUGAUCGGCCACAUUGGGACUGAGACACGGCCCAAACUCCUACGGGAGGCAGCAGUAGGGAAUCUUCCGCAAUGGACGCAAGUCUGACGGAGCAACGUCGCGUGAGUGAAGAAGGUUUUCGGAUCGUAAAACUCUGUUGUUAGAGAAGAACAAGUGCUAGAGUAACUGUUAGCGCCUUGACGGUAUCUAACCAGAAAGCCACGGCUAACUACGUG